rnacentral:lncRNA from 1 species
UCCCGUUUUGUCCAACCCGAAACUCACCGUAUCAUUAAACCAAUUAAUAAAGACGCAGCUCUCAACUAAUUAUUUUCAACUAUUUAAACAGAAAUAUAAACCAUAACACAGCCUUAUAUCCACGGCCUCUGUCGAUGCCCGGUCUCCAAUCGCGACGGAGAGGGCACCAACUCGGCGAUUUCAGCGAAAAGGUAAGUUUCCUCUUCCCUUUUUUCUUUAUAUUUUUAAUGAAAAAAUAAAUUAAAAAUAAAUUAAAAAAAGAAUAGACAAAAUAAAAAAAAAAAGACUCGAUUCAUCUUCAAAAAAAAAUGUUUUGUAUUCUUUGUAUUUUCUUCCCUUUUCCCUUUUUCAAAGUGUUUCAAAUCGGUUUUUAUAACCGAAUAUUAGAGAAAAAUAAAAAUAACUAAAAUAAAAAUAACAAAACUAUCUAAUUUCUUGCUAUAUUUCUUGUUAUCUCUACUGUUCGUGGCUUGUGGUCUUCAUGCUAGGUACGCUAGAGAGGAGACGUGUGCGAUGGAAGCGCGCGAGUGGCGCGAUCUGCGGAGCGCCAGGAUGACUGUUGGGCGUGGGAGCGGUGCGCAUGUAGGGGAGGCCGAUUUAGGGUUUCAGCAAUUUGAUUUUUUUUUGGGCUAGGGUCUGUAUUGGGGCUAGGGUUAUUGGUUAAUUUUGGGCCCAUUUAUUUGUUUGGGCCCGGGCAUAUUUGGGCUCUACAUGUGCAAUUAUCAUAAAGUCUGUGAGCUCUAUUGAUAAUGCAGCUCUCAAACGUUAAAGAUGAGCCAAAAAUCUCAUUGUUUAGUUGUUUCCAAAUGCACCAGCAUAUUGCGCCAAACAACCUCCAAUUAUCUGGUGCCUCUGAAAACCGAAUGGGGUCUGAUAUGUUAACAUGAAUCCAUUCGUUCAACGGCAAACUCAAAAAAUCUUGUAGGUUUCCAGGGUGAAUAAGCUGUGAUCAAACUGACAACGCCGAAAAACAAAAACGCAGAACAUGGUUGAUGGAUUCGACUUGAAAGCUACACACCGUACAACAAGAGUCAAUUGCCAUAUACUGUCGGAUCCGUACCUCAUUUGUUAGCACUUUGUUUUUAGGCCGCCAGCCAUAAAAAUACUCUAACACGUUGGGGACAGUCAAGCUGCCAUAUACUCUGCCAGAAACUACCUUAAGGCACAGAGGUUGAACAAAGGGUUGAGUUUGUGGAGCUAAGGGUCAAACUUGUGAAGCAAAAGGUUCAAUAGUGGUAGCGUCAUCACUAGAUUCGAGUAUUCUAACCAAUGCUUGAGGCACGUUGGGGUUCUGGUUGUGUAGUAGUGCGGCUAAUUCUGGUGGCAGUAGUAGUGAAGAUACUAAUUGUGAAGUUCUCAGCACUAAGAGGGUUACGGAUAUUGUGAGGGAGAUUGGUUCCAAUAUCAGAAGGAUUGUUCUUAUUGUUGAGAGGGUUGACUUGGGUAUCAAUAGGGUUAGCUUCAAUGACAGAAUCCAUGGCUCUUGGCUCGGUUCCCACAGACGAUGUCAAAUGUUAACAUCUACCUAGGAGGAAGAUGGGUUGGAAGUUUCCUUAGGCUAGAAUGAUUGAUGGACUGGCAAGACAAGAAAAACAUUAUGCGAGGCAUCAGAGUUUAUGCUCUAGGAAGAUCUUCUUGGACUUACUUGGGUUUCACGCUUAUUUUCUUAUGACAACUUAUUCUCUUGAGCUAACAUAACAAUAAUCAAAUUUUGAAGUACUUAUUUUAAUUACCAAUGCAUAAAAUCAGACAAGUUGAUGUUAGGACCGAUUAAUGUUGGAAUCGUUAGCUUGUUCUUGUUGCACACGUAUAACAACAAUGAUUAUUUUAAUAAAAUUUACAUGCAGGCUUU